GUAGGUGAACCUGCGGAAGGAUCAUUACCGAGCGAGGGUCUCAGGGCCCAACCUCCAACCCUUGACUACCCACCCGUUGCCUUGGCGGCCUCGGCCGCCGGAGGAUCGCCCCGGGCUUGCCCCGGGGUUCAACCCGUCGUCUUGCAGUCUGAGAACUACACAAUAAUCAAAACUUUCAACAACGGAUCUCUUGGUUCUG
rnacentral:misc_RNA from 1 species